rnacentral:misc_RNA from 1 species
UCUCCGUAGGUGAACCUGCGGAGGGAUCAUUACAGAGUUCAUGCCCUACCGGGUAGAUCUCCCACCCUAUGUUAUUAUUACUUUGUUACUUUGGCGGGCCGUUAGGCUCCGGCCCGACUACCGGCCCCGGCUGGUAAGCGCCCGCCAGAGGACCCAAAACCCUGAAUGUUAGUGUCGUCUGAGUACUAUAUAAUAGUUAAAACUUUCAACAACGGAUCUCUUGGUUCUG